rnacentral:rRNA from 1 species
GACGAACGCUGGCGGCGUGCUUAACACAUGCAAGUCGAACGGAAAGGCCCUGCGUUUGUGGGGUUCUCGAUUGGCGAACGGGUGAGUAACACGUGUGUAUCCUGCCCUUGACUUUGGUGUAACUUCAGGAAACUGGGGCUAAUACCGUAUAGCAUCUCCUGCUGCAUGGUGGGGGUUGGAAAGUCUCGGCUGUCGGGGAUGGACUCGCGGCUUACGAGCUUGUUGGUUGGGUAGUGGCUUACCAAGGCUUUGACGGGUAGCCGGCCUGAGAGGGUGACCGGCCACAUUGGGACUGAGAUACGGACCAGACUCCUACGGGAGGCAGCAGUGGGGAAUAUUGCACAAUGGGCGGAAGCCUGAGGCAGCAACGCCGCGUGCGGGAUGACGGCCUUCGGGUUGUAAACCGCUUUCGCCUGUGACGAAGCGUGAGUGACGGUAAUGGGUAAAGAAGCACCGGCUAACUACGUG